GUAAACUCCGACCAGCAGAGAGUCUGGUAAAGAAUCACGGAUACCAAACGAGAAAUUACAAUAUCAAUCGAAAGAAUGUGUAUUACACAGGUGUGUUCUUUUCAGCCAAUCAAAAACUUUACCAGAAUUUCGGUAAGCCUCGCUUUGGCGUUACAAUCGAUAUCACGUAUCUUUACCAGACCCUCUGGGUGGUCGGAGAUUUACGGAGACAGCCGAGGGUCU